GAUAAGUUCCUCAAUUUUAUUUGAUAUUUUUGUUGUAUUCCAUACAAAUCUCACAGCCCUUGAUGACCUUAAGUCACGAUGUGGGUGCCCUGCUUCCACGUUUUCCUCUCUUCCUUUUUAUGUUUGUGUCCAUUCAUUGCCCAGCCAUGCAGGUCUCCUGCCACUAAGGCUUGCCUUUCCACAUGUUGAGAUGGCUCUUCAGCUUGAAGGAAGUGGUUCUGGAAAAUCAGUCAGGUAAGACAUUCCAGACUGGUGGCUUGCCGUGUGAAGGACUUGAAGAUUCCAGUCUCCUGGAUCUGACUGCAUUGGACUGUUGGGUCCAUAACUCACUUUGGUUCCUUCUCAAAAAAAUUGAGACCAAUUUGCUGUGAAAAUUAAUUCGACUACAAUUUCCUACCUCAUAUUCAUCCCAUACAAUCAAUUCAAUUUUGAUCAAAUAUUAAUAGUUCCUUGUUUUCAAGUAGCUGUUUUCUCUGUUUCCCCCAGCGGAGAUGGCACUCUACCUAGCUAAAUGGGGAUAGACAUAAUCAAACCUCUGUUGAGCAUGUCAGAAGAACGCAGUAGCAAAGUUAUGAGUUUGUCAGCUGAAAAGCAAUCCAAUAUCUAGAAAUAAUUGUAUACCUGUUUCUCCGGCUCAGAGUAUUUCAAUAAAUCCUGAGAUUUUAUGUUCAAUCUCUUUGUUGAGCACAAAUAAGUGUUUAAAAAAAUCGUUAGGUUAUGUCUUAGUCUGCUCCCAGGAAACUGCAUUGCACUUGAAACAAAGGUUGAAAUUUCCAUCAGACACUGCAUGGUUUAAUAAGAGGAGCUUAAUACAGAAAUGAAACAAAUCUAGCAUUAGAAAAAUAAGCAGAAUCAAAAUCCAUUUAACUGAAACCUGAAGCUCUUUAUAUUUAAAUCAUAAUACACUUACAGUAGCAGCUUCACUAAAAACUGUCUUUGACAGAGAUAGCCCUUUAUUCUUUCUUCUAUAUCACUUGUCAAGUAGCUAAUUCAAAUAGCUAAUUGUGCAAAUAACUAAUCCAACCACCAUGUAUUACUUCAAUUAUUUUCUUCUUCAUCCUCUUUCUGUUCUCAUUCCCACGUAUUUUUUACAUCAUCUUUUAAUUAGAUUAUAAGGACAAGCAACGUACAUCAGCACACUGAACCCAAAAUCAAGCAUCUCUGGUUGUCUUCUACGCAUCUAAGCUCAAUAACAAAAAUAACAAAUAAUAAUAUUAACAACAAUAUGACAUUCUUCUCUAGCCAUGUCGAGUCCUCAAAUAGCACUCAAUGAGUUAAAUACUACCGCUUUGGUGAGCAGACUAUUAAGUCUCAUAAACUCUCUAAACUCUCUCUACUUCCCUACACACAGUGUACGAGCCAAGAAAAUGCCAUCUAUCUUGGCAUUUUCCAGGCAAGAUUUAUAAAAUGUUGUGAACUUUCCCCUUGGCCUCAGGUAGUUUAAAACCAUUUGUCUAGUAAAAACUACGUGGGUGAAGGCUGUGUAAAAGGGGAAUAUUAGAGAGAAGACAAUUCUAGUUGUGGUAGCCUGACUUCAAUUGGGCAAAACUGGAUAUGGAAAAUCUUGCCAGCCUACUGAAAACUCUAUGGUGUUUUACUUAAUAUUAAAAAAGAAAAGCUAAGCAGCUAUUUUUAUGAUACUUGGCCUUGAGUGCAAACAUAUCACCUAAAAUGAAUUAGCCAUCAGGUUUUUAAUCACUUAGUCAUACAGCAGCUGCACACUUCUAUUCUUUCAUGAAGAGUGUCACUUUGAAAGAAGUUUCCUAUUUUUGCAAGUGAAGAACAAGCAUGUUUGAUUUCAACACAAACAAGUAACUAUGUUAUUCUCGUUCCAUGAAAUUCUAGGAUGAAAGAAUAUAGAAAAAAGAUCUCCAAGUGGAUACAUUUUCUUUAGCAUUCUUCCAUUACUGAGUCAGCAUAUUUGUUCCUGUGCGAAUGGCGACGCUUCUCCCAUCUCUCUGAAGAUGUAGCCGUGGCACAUCACCAACGGCUUAGUGCUGCCGUGGACCUGAACCCAAGAUCUCCUUCCUACAUUUCUUGAAGCACUUCUUCACUGUGCUGGUGCCAGAGCACUGUUACUGGUUUCCCAGAGAGAUGUUGGGGUUUCCUGCUUGGACGUCUUCAAAACUCAGCUGGACGGGGGCCUGGGCACUCUGCUCUGGGUGUCCGAUCCUGGGGAGGGGGUUGGAUCAGAAGGACCCAGCGGUCUCUUCCCGGCUCAGACAGUAUGUGAUUCUGUGAAUUCAACAUCUGCUGGAAUGAAAUCAAACUCUAAACUGUAAUUCUGCUUUCAAAUGGCAACCUUUAUACGAAAAACUACAUUUGAGACUACAGCAAUGUCUUGUAGAACUUGAAAGCUCUGCACUACCUUCACACAGAUAAAAAUGAAUAUUAGCUCAGUGCAAAAACUAUAAACAGAACUACUAAUGAGAAUAAAUCCACAGAAAUGUAAAUGAUAGCAUCUAAGACGAAAGCUGUAUGCAAAAACUUUAAUAUGUGCUCAAUCUGGGGAUGAUCUCCACCCCAGAAGACUUAAGGAGCUGGCACACUAAGCCAUCAGUCUGUCAAACCAGGAAUACAGAUGUAUUACUGAAGCACAGGGAAUGUGGACAUCUUUCCAGAAAGUGGGAGGAAAAUAAUCUUAGCGGACACCAAACUUCUGGAGUUUAUGCUGUGCAAUACUUAAGUUUUGAAUAAAACAACAAUAAGCACGUGGAUACAAAAUGAGAGAUGAUUUAUGAAAGACAGAUCGUAUUAGACAAAUUUAAUGUUUUCUCUAACCUUACGGUUUAAGCAAUGUAGAUCAUAUUUGAUUGGACUUUGGAAAUAUUUGAUAUUCUAAUGCACAAAAAGUAUCAGUCAGCUUGUAUGUAUCAGAACACAGCAAUUAACUAACAAAGAGAAGGUCAUGGCAAGCUUUCUGAACGUGCUCUUAGAAUACAGUCCACAGUACUCACCAAGAGUUAGUGCUGGAAAUGAUCUUACUGCUUAUUUCAUCAAUGAUCUCUGCAGUAAAGGGAGGAGUAAGCUAAUAAAACGUUCCAGUGACAAAUUGAAGGAGGUAGUGGCAAUGAUGGGAGCAUCACACUGGAAGUUCUGCUCAUUGAAGACCAAAGCAAUAGAAAGUACAUUAGAUGCAACAGUAUGUAAUGGGAAGUGUAGACAGUGAGGGAUUCACCUCAUCUGACUGCCAUCCAGAAGACAGGUCUCCAGUCAGCUGUGCUUUGGUAGGGGACCUGCUGAGAACAGUUCGUCACAGCUGCUGUUGACACCUCUUGCGGAGCUGAGGAUCCAGAUCUGGCCUGCGAAGAUUAGGUAUAAUGAGUCUCUUAGUUUGGUAACUGUUAGAAAAAGGCUACAGCCUGAAAGACACCAACUAGAAAUCAUACAGGAUAAUGACCUGGACGUGUUCCUGAAUUCCGGGGUAAAUAUCAGAUGCUGUUGAAAGAAUCAAAAGUGAUCCUAAGAUGUGAGCCAGGUGACUUCUAGCAGAUGUAAGCAACUAUUAAUUGCACUGAGCAAGAUGCAGUAAGGCUUUAUAUGGGACGCUGAAUGUAAUUCUAUUCAACCUUUUUGGGAAAGAUGAAUUCAAAAUGGAAAAAAAAAAAAAAAAAAAAGCAGAGAAGGGCUACUUAGAAGAGAAUGGAGAAUCCAUUGUGUAAGAGACAUCAUUUAUCCCAGCAUGAUGAGCAUUAUUAGUGAUAAGCCAAGAAAGGAAGAACUACUCGAGUUAAAGGAUGAUACUGAUAACAAAAAUAUUGCCAUGCUCACAUUUAUGUGAGGAAUUGUAAGACACUUUUAUCAAUCAAAUUACUGAGUUUCUGAAGCAGGGAGAGCAAUGCAGGAACAUUCUGUGUAGCUUUAUGAUGGAUGACCCCACACACUCUGGAGAAAAUUAUGUUGGAUGCUUUCAAGGGGCCGAUCAAGACAUUUCAUCUUCCUCAUUUGGAAUGAAAAUGUAACAUUAAGUUAAAACACGUAUUAAAAUUUUGAUAUAAGGAAAACAGUGUUAGGCAUUUCCCAAAAUACAUUCAAGUCUAAGCGUUUCAGGAAUACUACUUAUGAAAAGUUUGGUUAUCAUGUCAUGGCAUAGUUCAGAACUUCUCCCUCUACUUGGAAUAUAGCAUCUGCCUUCAAACACUGUGAGGGAGUUGUCUUUGAAUCAGACAUUUUGAUACCCAUAUCAUCAUACUGUAUGCUCACAAGAUCCAGAUUAGGAGAAUAGGAAAUAAAGAAAGCCCCAAGGAAAACAAACAAACAAACAAACAAACAAACAAAAAACAAAGAAUACAGUUCUUUUCACACAUACAAUAUGCUAAUUCCAUUCAAAAGCUGAAGACAAAGUACGUCUGCUACCCAGAACUUUGUUUAGUUUGGUCAUGCAGAAUGACCGUAAAUCAUCACCAGUGACACUCAUCACGCUGACUGCACCCAGAAGCCUGGGCGUUCCAAACACACUUUUGUUUGACGUUACAGAAUAGCAAACUUCUGUGAAAUGGGCAUUUUAGGUGCCAUACCUCCCUCCAAACAUUUCUUGCUUUUUAAAUAGGUCUACCUGGGGAAGAAAGCCACAAAUCACAUUAUCAUACGUAGAAUACUUUUCUGUACUUUAGUCAUUAAUAGAAGAUGGCAAGCAGUAGACAAAGAAUAACACUGUUUCUAGUUUUACAGGUGUAUUAUCAAGUUAAUUGGCUACGAUACACACCUCCAAUUAACAUUUCCCUGUCUUUUCUCGAAGAAAACGUACCAUAUUAAAAACGUUUCCAUGAGAAAAGCAUUUCUUCCAGAUGUUUGUUCUUGAGGAAAUAUUAAAGAUACCUGCUGAAAUCUUCAUAAGAACUUGCCUUAUUGCACAUUUCGUAUUCUUAGUCCAGCUGUCAUCACGACCAACGUAUUUCCAUAACUACCUACAUAUGCCCAUUUACUUGAGUGAAGUAAACUGACAGAACUAACUUCACUGUAGUACGGCUUGAAAAGAAAUUUUUACAUGUCAAAUUUAAAUGGCAAAAGGAUAAGAUAUUGUCUUAGUUUCAGCUGGAAUGGAACCGUUUUCAUCAUAGUGACUGGUAUGAUGCUAUGUCUUGGUUCUAGGAGAUAAACUCCGUUGAUAACGCAGCAAUCUUUAUAGUUGCCUGCUAUGCCAAGGCCACUCUCAGCAAAGGGCCCAAGUUGCUGGGAGAGAGCAGAAUCAGGACAGCUGACCUAAACUAGCCAAAGGGAUAUUCCAUAUCAUGUGGCAUCACGUGGAAGGCGUUUUGAAAGGGGUAGGAAUUCGUACUGCUCUAUUCCACUGCUCAGGGGCCAGCUGGGCAUCGGUCAAGCGUGGUGAGCAACUGCUUGUGCAUCACUUCUUAUAGACAUUUAUGUAUACGUACAGUCAUAACUAUUCUCUUUUUCUCUGUCUUAGUAAAGUUUUACCUCAACCUCCGAAUUCUACUUUGUUUGUUUUCUUAUUCUUUCCCCCAUCCCACUGGGAAGGGGUGAGGGGAAAGAGAAACAGCCUUUGGAUUAAAAAAUAAUGUAUAGCAGGAUGCUUCAACAGGAAUUUAUAUAUAUAUAUAUACAUAUAUAUAUAUAUAUAUAUAUUUUUUUUUUAAUGGUAAAAUUCAGUUCUGCAGACUUCCCUCAACUACAGGACAUACCAUACAGCCUUGUUCAGAGCAAAACAUCACCAGUGACCACUGCUGCCAACCAGUACAGUGGGGGCUUGCAGGACACAGUAUCUCCAACUGGGAAAGGCUGCUGGGACCCAGGGACCCAGACCUGAGGCUGCAGAAUUGAGGAAAUCCAUCACCAGAGAGGUGGAACAAAGACUGCUCUAAACACCUGCGACUAACACGGGUGGAAAAGGAGGGAAAAUCCUCUGCCCUGGCUGAGUUCAGCUAAACAGGGUGCUGGUAGGAUACAUGCACAGGUAAUUUCACCAUGAAUGCAAAGCAUCCUCUGUACCUGUUGGCCUUUAUACAAAUCCAACAUCUUCUCCCUGAUGGAUGAACACAAGGCGUAUUUGUUAAAACUAUGCAGCACGUCCCAAAAUGAUGACAUUUCAUUUUAAUUGAAAUCAAGCAUGCUCUUCCACUAGGGAACAAGAAAGUAAAUGAUGUUUUAGUAGGAAUUCACACAAGUGAAGGAGAAUAUUUUUCUCCCUCCUGUUUUAUCUUUCCACGGGAAUCCACAAACUAAUAUUUCGGAGGCAGCAGAUGAAACCUGCUCUCGGUUAAACCGUACUGAAAUUAGUGAAGUUACUUCAAGCACCACUUUGGUGACAAACUGCUUGUAUUUGAGAACAGAGAGAGGCGAAGGCACAAUUGCUGUUUCCGUGGCUGGGCUGGGUGCAGUGAGUCUCCCAAGGCAUCUUUAUUCCCAGCAAAGUCGGCAGUAGAUACUUGAAAUGAUUUCACCAGGUACCUCACAGGACUGGGACGCGUUCCUCAGGAUGUAUCACACAGUCCUGCACACAUCUAGGGAAGCCGCUCUGGUAAUGACGACGUAAUUAAGUCACAAAUUCAAGUACCCCAACUUUAUUCUGUCCCCUUGUUUUUCGCCUUGUUUCCAGAGAGCAAAGCACUGUUUAACAAGGAGGCACAAAGAGAUAUAGGAGAAGUUGCGCUGAAAUGAUAAAUGUUUUCUAUGCUCAAUCUUCCUACAUGUAUUUUUUAAGAGAGAGUCAGUGGGGGUGAGAACCAAACAGUUUGGUGCUGUUUUGGUCUAUCCGGUAGAUUUCACUAAGCUCAACUUUGCUCCACCCGUGCUUCAUCCCCAAAGAUUACUGACAGCUCUGGAUCACCUCUCUUUAAUCGACAGGAUUAGCGGGACGAAAAUAAUCAGAAAAUAAUCAAGUUGACCUGGUGCAAAUUACUGACUUGCUCUCCUGUUCUGGGGGUUCAACACUCAGUAUCUGAAGUACCAUCAUGAAUGAAGUGCAGCAUCUCAUAGGCAUGUGUGGUCUGUAGUCCUCGGUCCAUUUUCAAAACGGAAUGGUAAAUAAGUGAAGGGUGGGUGGGAGCCAGUUGCAAGGUGUGAACUUCUGGGCAGAACAUGGCCCUGUUCUAAAUUCAGUGCCAAAAAUAAGCCGGUCCCUGAAAACACCUCUCACUGCGCAUGACUUCAAGCGUACUCAAGCAAAGGGAAGCCACACCCGUGGAAGGAGUCAUUAGCAGCAAUGUGGUUUCAGCCUUGUUCCUUUAAAAGUGACUCACCAGACAAACAGCUCAGAAUAGAGGUCUAUCAUAACAGCUGUCCGGGCUCCAAGGUGGUUCACGCAGAGCUCUCACCAUCGGGACUCACAGGCACAGCUCCCUCCUGCCUUGGCUCUCACUGCUGGCACUGGGAAGGACAGCACCAGGGCCGCAGUUGCAGACUGCUCCCCCAGCAUUAACGACCUCCUCGCUUGCUGUUUUUCUCCAGAGGGCCCAUGGUCCCCUGCACAGCCCCCCAAGCAAGCUGCCGUUCCAUCACUGCUUUUGUCAUCCUGGUUGACAUGCAGCUCCAAGACUGAAGGAUGGCAUGGCGUGCAGGCUGGGCAUGCCGGAAUGAGCAGCUUCCUCUCGACUUCUGCCAUGGCACCGGUUCUUGUGGCAACACUGCGCUUCACAGCAUUGAUAGGCCUGUGCGUUUCAAAUACCUUGGUAGCGUUUCCAAAGGGUUUAUCUGCAAAUGCAUAGGGAGUAUCUACAGAACACGUGCACGCUCAACUUCUCACAGGUUUAUGCACAAUUCAGCUAGCGUCGCAUGGAUCCAAAUUGCUUCACAUGUCUUCGGAGGUGGGAAAAGACCCAACUGCCAAUAGCUCCUGCCGGUCCACAACAACAUCUGCACUCGUGAGUUGGCGACACAGAAUUCUGCGGCACGUUAAAAACUGAACAUAUGGGGACAGUAGAAAAUACAGUGGAUUAAAAUCUCAAAAUAAAUAACACUGGGGCCAGUAUGGCGAUUGUGUUAUUCUUUUUCCUAUUUAAUUUAAAAGCAAAAAAAAAAAAACCAAAAAACAAAAAACACAAAACCCAACAACCCGCAGCCCGUUAUUAAGCACAGCUUCUGCAUUAAUUUUCAGUCUGCCAACCUAGUGUGUUCCAGAAAGACAGGGUCUUGCUACAGAAACCAGCUUCACUCAUGUUGCUAUGUGUGAAGUUGUACCAUGUCACCGUAAAUUUACAUUUUUUGUUCCAUGAAUAUUUCACUGUUGUGAGGUGAAUAAUUAUAUUUACCUCUGUUUUCCCCGAAAGUACAGCAUUUUUAUAUUGCAUUAAUACAACCAAUGUUUCAGCCAUUGCUAAUAUUAAAAAUGGAUUUAAUUAUGACUUGAUUCAUCCAGAGCUAAACCAUGGUUGAUAUCUGAGCAGGCCAGGCACAAAUCAGGUGUAAUUCACAUCCCUAAUUAUUAUACUAACAAUUUCUUGCUUCUGAAACAUUGAAAUGACAUGCCCAGUAUAAUCAUGAUGAAGAGCAGCAGCAGGCCAGGAAAUGCAGCAAUUUUCAGUAAGGCAUGCACUGCACUGAGAUAUCUAAGCAGAAUAGACAGGAAUUAUACCAAUGAAGCACUCAGAAAUGGACCAGGCUCUGAGCAUCCUGAAGGAGCUGUGGGUGACCCUGCCCAUUGCAGGGGAGUGGGACCAGAUGGCUUUUCAGGGUCCCGUCCAACUCAAACCAAUCUACGAUCUCUGCCAGGGCUCCAUUUCAAGGGGUGCCUGGAGAAGACAGAACCACGGAAUCACAGGAUUUCAGGGGUGGGAAGGAAGCUCUGCAGAUCCCCCAGCCCAACCCCACCCAAGGCAGGCUCCUUAGGGCAGGCUGCUGAGCACAGCGCAGCAGAUCCCAGGUUAAAUAACAAAGUAAAUCCUUCUCUCUCGUCUCUGGGCUCCCACUGUUUUUUCAUCUGGUUUUCCGUCUAUUGGUUUGCUUUGAAGGGAAAAAAAGAAAAACAAAAAAAAUCUGCAUUUUGAACAAUAAGCACUUUGGCACCAGAGCUGCCUUUUCUUUGUACAUCGUAUAGCGCUCAGGCCACUGCCGGUGGCAAAGGACUCGUAACUCACUGAUAAAAAAGCUCCAAUAAUAGAGGGAAAUGACUGCAUCGAGUCCCACAAGGCCUGUGACACCCAGCUCUGGGAUAUGGGAAGUGGGGGAAGUGUGGACCCCCACCCAAACCUGACCCCUCCCACGGCUGUGUGACCCCCAGGCAGGGCUGCUCUGUAGCUCCCAGCCCCCGAGGGCACCUGGAUCUGCUCGCCCUGCCUCCCUUCAGGGCAGCACCCCAUGGGGAGCAGGGCUGCAGGCCGCACCGGGGCCCAGCGGCCCUCACUGAGCUUGGUGCCAUUGAGGCAGUCUGUGAGGACACGCUGAAGCUGACAGCCAAAAGCACUAAUAAUGGCCGCGCACGCUGCCCUUAAAUGUCCCCGCUGGUCCCCUGAGGCGCAAAUCCCAACUGAACGUCUUAUCUGUGCCUGGAACCUCUUUGGACAGCCAUGUGCCCGUGCUGAGCUGACAGCCCGGUGAUGUCCCGCGCGGUGCCACCCAUAUUGCAGCCACACUGCACGCCAGGCCGCAGCUCCCCUCCUCACCACCUCUGCUCGGCCAGGAGAUGGAGUCCUCGUGGCUGCAGGUGCCACCCCCCGAGCCCCCUCCCCUGUGGGCAGGGCACAAAGGCACUGGCAGAGCCACAACUCCUUGCGCUCAGGGGGCGUCAGGGAGGCCAUCCUUGGAGCUGUUGGAGGCACCGGACGCGCUGCUGUUCCCAGUGGGAACGGAAGGGAAGGCAGUAGGGACACUCUCUGGGACUUCUGCUGGAACUCCAUGCGGACCUCCGGCUCAGCUGCCCGUGUGAGAAGCAGCCCUCCAACCCGGAGGCUGGAACGUGGCCUUGUGGGGGUCGCUUUGGGAAGGGCUUCCAGUGACCACAGCCUCACCCAGGAACACACUUUAAGUGCAUGCACGGUGCCCUGCAGACACUCGCAAGGCCAGGAGAGGAUGGGGGGAAGGAACGCGUCAGAGGAAACGGUGCCCAGGAUCUAGAGGCUUCCUAGCGGGGUGCACGUGGGGCAGCGUCCCCAGGGCCCUCUGGGUGGCCUGGUGGGACCGCCGGGGUGGGCGGUGGUCACAGUGCAAAUAGCACAGCCACGCGAGGAGCAGGAAGGGCUCCUCCCAUAGUGAGCGUUGGCCAUUGGCGCCCACCCUGGCCGCGGUUAGGGCAGGCCCCAGAGAAUGGCAGCUGUGAGGGACACAAGGUGAGGGGCUGCAGCCCGCCGUGGCCCCUGGACACGUCCCACCACUCCGGGACAGCUCGUUCUCCCCAGAGCCACAGCACUGCAUGGGGCCCUUUGUAUUCUCUGGGUUGGAAUUUGGGCAGCUCUCCUGCUCUGCUGCCCAGCAGAAGUCUGGACUUGGACCACCUUCGCACGGCCACAAGGAAGAGAAACCACGAAAGGUUUCUCACCCACCCUCCAGCAAGCUGAGGGGGAAGAGGUGGGGCCCACAGCCAUCCUGCCCCACACAGACCUGCACCCCAAUGGCACCCCUGCUGAUGGCCGGGCAGAGCAGGACCUGACCUCACCCCUCCCCAUGAGCACCCACAUCUGUGCCCCACUUCUUACCCUCCUCAGAGCCCCCCACCAGAGUACCCUGAACCCACCGCUCCCCAUGAUCGCCAGUGCAGCACCCUGAUCCCAUCCCUGCCAAAAGCCAUGCGAACCAGCACCCCAUUCCUCCCAAUGGCCGCCCAGCAUGGUACCCUACUUCUCACCCUCCCGACUGCCAUGAAGAACAGCACCCCACUUCUCAACCCCCAGUGACACCCACAGCAACACCCCACUUCCCAUUGCUCCCAAUGGCCACCCAGAGCAGGACCC
ensembl:lncRNA